rnacentral:rRNA from 1 species
GUGACUGCGUACCUUUUGUAUAAUGGGUCAGCGACUUAUAUUCUGUAGCAAGGUUAACCGUAUAGGGGAGCCGUAGGGAAACCGAGUCUUAACCGGGCGUUAAGUUGCAGGGUAUAGACCCGAAACCCGGUGAUCUAGCCAUGGGCAGGUUGAAGGUUGGGUAACACUAACUGGAGGACCGAACCGACUAAUGUUGAAAAAUUAGCGGAUGACCUGUGGCUGGGGGUGAAAGGCCAAUCAAACCGGGAGAUAGCUGGUUCUCCCCGAAAGCUAUUUAGGUAGCGCCUCGUGAAUUCAUCUCCGGGGGUAGAGCACUGUUUCGGCUAGGGGGCCAUCCCGGCUUACCAACCCGAUGCAAACUGCGAAUACCGGAGAAUGUUAUCACGGGAGACACACGGCGGGUGCUAACGUCCGUCGUGAAGAGGGAAACAACCCAGACCGCCAGCUAAGGUCCCAAAGUCAUGGUUAAGUGGGAAACGAUGUGGGAAGGCCCAGACAGCCAGGAUGUUGGCUUAGAAGCAGCCAUCAUUUAAAGAAAGCGUAAUAGCUCACUGGUCGAGUCGGCCUGCGCGGAAGAUGUAACGGGGCUAAACCAUGCACCGAAGCUGCGGCAGCGAC